UGGGGAAUAUUGGACAAUGGGGGCAACCCUGAUCCAGCAAUGCCGCGUGUGUGAAGAAGGCCUUCGGGUUGUAAAGCACUUUUAGCAGGAAAGAAAAGUCGUUCGCUAAUACCGGAAGGCUUUGACGUUACUUGCAGAAAAAGCACCGGCUAACUCCGUGCCAGCAGCCGCGGUAAUACGGAGGGUGCAAGCGUUAAUCGGAAUUACUGGGCGUAAAGCGCGCGUAGGCGGCUUGUUAAAUCGGAUGUGA
rnacentral:rRNA from 1 species